CAGGCAGGGUGGUUUGCCAGAGGAGUGGUAUGAAUAACUAAAGUACACCUGGAGUAUGCAUUAAACUUUUGGGUUUUACUUUUUUUUUUUCCCCCUUCUUUUAAUAAUUGGCCUCUGUACAUCUAUUGCUGUUGUUUUACUGAUACCCAAAUGCUGUGCUCUCCACAAUCAGCUGUUGUAAGUGGUGGCAUAUGUGAUUAAGAGAGCAAAGAUAACUUGUUUCUUAAGGGCCAUCCUAAAUAAAAGAUAUUUACAUAUGAUGGAUUGUAUAUCCUGUUUUGCUCUAGUGCAAUGGAUUGGAUGUUCACAGGCUGCUGCUGCAUCCAGGGCACAAGGGAUCAUACAUGGGAUGAGGAGCUGCUGGGCUGCAUGGGUGAUGGCAAGCUGACAGCAUGUGUCCAGGUUGCUUUCUACACUCCUAGACAUACAAUCAGCUACCAGCGUGAAGAAUAGAAACACACUCAAAAGGAUACACAGAGAGAGACUUGUGAGAUUUGCAGUGAGAGGUGAUCACCAGAGUUUAUCAGCUGGAAAGCCCUCCCGUGUGACCAUGGGCAAAAGCUCUGAGUCUUCAGUUCCUGGUGGAAAGACCACCUUGUCAUGGUCAGUAUCUGAUGAUACUGAGAAAGCAGAGCUCUUAGGCAGAAGAAGAGCAUGAAAAUGUUCAGGUUAACAGAAUUCCCACAGAUCAGUCAGACAUGGUGAUGUGAUGAUGGCUAAACAACUUGGGAAGGAAGAUCCACUGUACUCUCAGAAAAGCUGCUUUGGAAAACAGUAGAGAGAAGAAAGCAAAACUCAUGCAGGCAGUAAAGCCCAGUGGGGGAUGAAGCAUCUGAAGGCAAGGCAGGUGUGGGAGCACAGACCUGGGGAGGAACAAGAGAGGGGAAGCAGAAUGGAAGCAUGUGAAACAUUGAAUGGAACCUGUAUGCGCUCUUCCAGCUACAAAUCACUACACAUUUAGCGAAAGAGAUGGAAUUGCAGUGAGCACUCUCACUGGCAAAAUGGCAGCAUGUACUAUGACCAGGAUGGAGGAUGCAUGCAGUUGGCUGGCCAAUAUAUUUAGGUGGACUGACCAAGAACAUGAGGAGUGACAAAGUUUGGGAGUCUGAGGCUGCUGUUUCCUGGAAUAGGGUAGCUUGUGAUCACCGUGUGUCUCAAGUGUCCAGCGCUGUCACAGAGCAGUGACAAAAUAAAGAACGAGCAUACACACUGGACAAAAGGCAUCAGACGUGCUGUCCACCACACUGAGGUGUGUUACAACAGAUGAUGGGUAAGCACACCAUCUGUCCUUUCCCCUCUUCUGUC